rnacentral:rRNA from 1 species
GGAGAGGGCUAGCGUUAUUCGGAAUUAUUGGGCGUAAAGGGCGCGUAGGCGGAUUAGUAAGUUAAAAGUGAAAUCCCAAGGCUCAACCUUGGAAUUGCUUUUAAAACUGCUAAUCUAGAGAUUGAAAGAGGAUAGAGGAAUUCCUAGUGUAGAGGUGAAAUUCGUAAAUAUUAGGAGGAACACCAGUGGCGAAGGCGUCUAUCUGGUUCAAAUCUGACGCUGAGGCGCGAAGGCGUGGGGAGCAAACAGGAUUAGAUACCCUGGUAGUCCACGCUGUAAACGAUGAAUGUUAAAUAUGGGGAGUUUACUUUCUGUAUUACAGCUAACGCGUUAAACAUUCCGCCUGGGGACUACGGUCGCAAGAUUAAAACUCAAAGGAAUUGACGGGGACCCGCACAAGCGGUGGAGCAUGUGGUUUAAUUCGAUGCAACGCGAAGAACCUUACCUGGCCUUGACAUGUCGAGAACUUUCCAGAGAUGGAUUGGUGCCUUCGGGAACUCGAACACAGGUGC